CGCCGAUCCGGACCAAGGAAUUACAGCGAGCUUUGUGCUGCACAUCGAUCGUUUUAAUGCUUUUUGCAAUAUUUGUUUUCGCUUGGACCACGUUGUCGUUUUUCUGCUCCAUUCAUUUUGGAGGAUGAUGUGUACGUAAAUAUUUUGCGUUUCAUUUAGUUUUAGUGGCACACGCAAUGGAUUUUUCAUUAAACGAUAACGUAAAAUCAAACUGACGGUAAACUGUUUAUAUUUUAUUAAUGUUUGUGGCUAAAUUUAGGCAGUCCUUCGAAUAGAGCAGCGCUAUUUACAUACACAGGAUGUUUUCUUGCUUUAUCAAGAUUUGUUAAUGUCGUUGCGGUUGAUUAUGGCCAUUUUUUAUUCGUGUUUUAUUACAUUGAUGGAAAGAUGAAAUAAAUAAACAAGCGUUGCCCGAUUA